GGUGUGUGUUCGCACUCGGCGGGAUGCCGGGAGAAUCUGGAUGUGGAGAGGCACAAGGACAAGCACACGCUCUGAGCAAGAUUUAAAAGGUUUAAGGUCUCUGUAGAUGAUCCCAAGACUGUGAAGGUGGUCCAAGGCGAGGGCCAACUCUGCAAGAACAAGCAGCAGCAGUCACAUUGUGUGCGCCACCGGGCAGGCUCUCUGGACCCCUCCCCAGCUGCCUCUCCUUGCCUUUCCCCAACAACACACAGCAACAGCUGAUAACUGAUGGCAACAAAGAAGUACUAUGGCUUUGGAUCCAAAUUCGGUGCAGUAUUGAGGACAGCAAUCAUAGAGAGGCACAAGGCCAGCAGUCACAGUGAGAGCAGCAUGAUUUGUUCUGAUCACUGAACAUGGGUGUGUGUACUCAGAUCCGUCACAUCAGCAGCUUUUGCAGAGCUGCAGUGUUACAUAACCUCAGACAGAGCAGAGGAAUGCCAGCGGACAUUGAUGAAAGCUUGGGGGUUAAAAUACUGAAGUAGAGUGUUCGCAGAUGACCUGAGUGGUAAUAUUGUCUCGUUCAAAUUCAUCAAAGAGGCCAGUUUAAAAAUACCACCGAUGUGUUCCAAUUCAUAAACCUGAACUAUCCUCAACACAGGAAACUCACGGUGUGGCCUUUUUUAUGUGUUUGACAGGAUUUGGACCACACUGGGAUUUAAAAGGCACAAAGUUUCGGGACAUUUUAGCACUAUUAAAAAAUGUAAUCAAAUGUGUUCAGUCAAUCUGUUGUACUCUGUUGUGGGUGGGGAUUCAGGAUUAUAGACUGAUGUCUUUGUCCCAGUAGGAUUAUGGCUCUGUAAGGAGAUCACAACAUGAAUAUGUAUAUGCACGGACAGGCAGAAUGUGAGACAGUGAGACUCGGAUAUAGUAUUGUUAAUGUGGUGCAUUAUAAUGCACAUCAUUUUGUGGCAGAUGGCUUUACUUUUGCUACCAAGCUCUGUUUUUGGAGGUUUGAUUCACCAACAUUAGAAAAGCAUUCUGACACACAGCACAGCAUUUAAAAAAAACAUAUGAUACAGACUAUGAGUCUUUAUUGACAUUAAAAAAUACACUAUUAAUACAACUAUUAAUUUUUGCGGUUUCACCAACCAGCAGAUUUUUACUUUUUAAAAAACAGCCUCAGCAAUUCAGCUAAAGGACAGAUCAGUUAAUAUUGACUAAAGCAUUUAUACAAGGGG